rnacentral:rRNA from 1 species
GACGAACGCUGGCGGCGUGCUUAACACAUGCAAGUCGAACGGAAAGGCCUGCUUUCCCUUGUGGAUUGCGGGUACUCGAGUGGCGAACGGGUGAGUAACACGUGAGUGAUCUGCCCCCAACUUGGGUAUAAGCCUGGGAAACUGGGUCUAAUUCCCGAUAGGACUGCAGGGUGGUGCCUGUGGUGGAAAACGAUUUUCUAGUGGUUGGGGAUGAGCUCGCGGCCUAUCAGCUUGUUGGUGGGGUAAUGGCCUACCAAGGCGGCGACGGGUAGCCGGACUGGGAGGGGGGACGGCCACAUUGGGACUGGGAUACGGCCCAGACUCCUACGGGAGGCAGCAGUGGGGAAUAUUGCACAAUGAGCGGAAGCCUGAUGCAGCGACGGCGCGUGGGGGAUGACGGGCUUCGGGUUGUAAACUCCUUUCGACCGAGAGGAAGCCACCUGGUUGGAAGGGUGGUGACGGUAGUGGUAGAAGAAGCACCGGCUAACUACGUG